rnacentral:snoRNA from 1 species
UGCUGUGAUGCCGUAAUUUGCGUCUUAUCCGGUGCUCAGCGACAGUCGCCUGCUGUCACCGCGCUGGCACCGCCGAGCUGACGACUCCUUCCUGCUGAGCA